rnacentral:rRNA from 1 species
AGCUCCAAUAGCGUAUAUUUAAGUUGUUGCAGUUAAAAAGCUCGUAGUUGGAUUUUGGGUGCGGCAGGCCGGUCCGCCGUUUCGGUGUGCACUGGCAGGCGGCAUCUUUCUGUCGAGGACGCGCUCCUGGCCUUCACUGGUCGGGAUGCGGAGUCGGCGCAGUUACUUUGAAAAAAUUAGAGUGUUCAAAGCGGGCCUACGCUUGAAUAUAUUAGCAUGGAAUAACACUAUAGGAUCCUGUCCUAAGAUCUUAUUCUGUUGGUCUUCGGGAUGGGAGUAAUGAUUAAGAGGAACAGUUGGGGGCAUUCGUAUUUCAUUGUCAGAGGUGAAAUUCUUGGAUUUAUGAAAGACGAACUUCUGCGAAAGCAUUUGCCAUGGAUGUUUUCA